rnacentral:rRNA from 1 species
UACGUAGGGGGGCUAGCGUUGUCCGGAAUCAUUGGGCGUAAAGCGCGUGUAGGCGGUUCGGUAAGUCCGCUGUGAAAGUCGGGGGCUCAACCCUCGGAAGCCGGUGGAUACUGUCGAGCUAGAGUACGGAAGAGGCGAGUGGAAUUCCUGGUGUAGCGGUGAAAAUGCGCAGAUAUCAGGAGGAACACCAAUUGCGAAGGCAGCUCGCUGGGACGUUACUGACGCUGAGACGCGAAAGCGUGGGGAGCAAACAGG